UACUUAUAUAUACAUUUGAGGCGGAAAAUGAUAUUUUUUUAUUGCUUUAACCGUCCGCCGUAGAUUAUGACGAAAUGUUGACCCAGAAACGGACAAAAGCAUAACAAAAAGUAGUUCCUCCAAGUUCAUCGAUGUUUAGUUUAAUAUACCGAAGACAACAAUGAUUUUUUACAAUGAAUAAAUAUUUGGCACAAUAAAAAAUACAUUUCGUUAUUUUUUUAAGUAUUAAGAUAUGUUAAUUGUAAAAAUCAACACAAUUUCCUUCCGCGUGAGGUGAUUUGCCUCGAUUGGAAUUUGAACGAAGAGAGCAUGUUUGCCUAACUUUUGUUGAUGGUGAUAGUGCAGUUGUUGAAGGUAGAUUUCGUCAGAAUUUCUGUUGUCAUCAUUCUAGAAGAAUUAGUAGCCGAUGUAGAUUGGAUAUCUACUUAAGAAUAGGUCGUCGAAGGUUGAAGAGGCAGGAUGAGAUCGGCGUUUGGAGGAAUUUCGGGAGUAAUUUGAACAGACUCCACAGGCGCAGGCACAGGACUUCAAGGAGGCUUCGGAUCGAUGACCAGACAUGAACAUUAUUUGCCUUGCUUCAAAUCCUGCGUCGUUCAUGGCAGAUAUUGCAGUGGCACGGAGACAGUGAGGUGUAUAAGAAUUUUGGCAUUUGGCUGAUUUGGAUAUAUCCUUCAUGAAGCAUCUAAAUGAUUGUUUUUGAAGAGGCUUUGAAGUGUACCAGAUGUCACAGGCACUUGGACAAGAGAGGGCAUCUUUCAAGCACACGUUAAACAGUUGUGUUGCUCCUUUUUCUGUUUUGGACAUAAGAAGACGAAGCAUUUUGAGAGGACACAAAGGGGAAUCUGGAAUAGCGUAGAGGCGUUUGUCAGCAGGUGCUUCAUCGCUUUGAAGACCACCUUGAAAGUUUUUCUGCUGAGUCUCGUGCCGGAGAACAACAUAUUCAGCAUCGCCAUCGUUACAGAAUUCAAACGAAUCAAGAUGCAAUUGAUGGUGAAAUUCAAGACCACGAGAAACAAAGUGCACAGACAGAUUGAACCAGACACACUGACGGAGCACAAUGGGUGAAAAAGGUGCAGCUUUGAAAUAAGAAGAGAUUUUUUCAAGAUCAUGUGGAUUUAGAACUGUUUUGUGCAGUGUCGGCCUUGAAGCUCCGCUUUGUGUCAUAGCUUUGAGCAUCCCAUCAAGGGUACGGUUUGCAGAUUUAAACAUGGUGUCAUGAACAAUAUUUAUUGGCCGUCCAAUAUCUUGUAGGUGCCUAUUGAUUGCGGAUCUUAUGUUUUUCAGAGUAUUCUUGUGAUAGUGCUGCGUUUGAACAUCAAUCAUAUUUUCUUUACGUUUAGUGCAGUCCUUUGGCCUCACAGUAGAAUUUUCGCAAGUGUGAUGCCAGGACCUCAGGUGUCACAUUAUGAAAAUCAAGGGCUUCAUGGUAGACUUCAGAAUGCCAAUCUAAAAUAUUCAAAUAACUAUGCUAGAAAGUAGGGAAGGGCUGUGUUUUUUUUUUCUUUUUUUUAAAUUCAGUUCUAAUUAUUGUAAGAUUUAUUUUUUUUUUUACCAAGUCUAUUUUAAGGGAAAAUUUUACACUUUAUGUUUUUAAAAUAUUAUCUAGGCCUACCUUGAAAUAAUUUUAUAGCCCACUUUGUGUUCAUUUUUGUAGAUUUCGACUGUCUUGCGUCUUCAAACUGUUUUAAAUCAUUCUCAGUGAAGGACUUGAAUCUUUUGGGCGCAGCAGGGGUCUCUGGAGGGGGGAGGCAAGUAAAGGCACUCUCUAACAAUUCAUCCUUCAUUUCAUUCACAUUCUCAAUAGAAGAUACCACUUCCAUAUUUGUCAGAUCCAUAUUUUCCAUAAUUUCAUCCUCAAAGAGUUGCCAUAGCUCCUCACAAAUUUCAUUUUCUCCCAUAUCAAGCUUCCCAUAAUCAGCCAUGUUUCAUGUGUAAUUUACAUGUAAAAUUUAGCAGCAGACGGAUUUCAUAUUUACAUUGUUUUUAUUUUUUAGUACUAUUUUUUGAAUUUUUAUUCAAGGAAAUAAAUGAAAUAUGUAGAUUUGUUAAUAAAUAUCACAAAACAAG